rnacentral:rRNA from 2 species
GCAGUCGACGAACUCUGGUAUUGAUUGGUGCUUGCAUCAUGAUUUACAUUUGAGUGAGUGGCGAACUGGUGAGUAACACGUGGGAAACCUGCCCAGAAGCGGGGGAUAACACCUGGAAACAGAUGCUAAUACCGCAUAACAACUUGGACCGCAUGGUCCGAGUUUGAAAGAUGGCUUCGGCUAUCACUUUUGGAUGGUCCCGCGGCGUAUUAGCUAGAUGGUGGGGUAACGGCUCACCAUGGCAAUGAUACGUAGCCGACCUGAGAGGGUAAUCGGCCACAUUGGGACUGAGACACGGCCCAAACUCCUACGGGAGGCAGCAGUAGGGAAUCUUCCACAAUGGACGAAAGUCUGAUGGAGCAACGCCGCGUGAGUGAAGAAGGGUUUCGGCUCGUAAAACUCUGUUGUUAAAGAAGAACAUAUCUGAGAGUAACUGUUCAGGUAUUGACGGUAUUUAACCAGAAAGCCACGGCUAACUACGUGCCAGCAGCCGCGGUAAUACGUAGGUGGCAAGCGUUGUCCGGAUUUAUUGGGCGUAAAGCGAGCGCAGGCGGUUUUUUAAGUCUGAUGUGAAAGCCUUCGGCUCAACCGAAGAAGUGCAUCGGAAACUGGGAAACUUGAGUGCAGAAGAGGACAGUGGAACUCCAUGUGUAGCGGUGAAAUGCGUAGAUAUAUGGAAGAACACCAGUGGCGAAGGCGGCUGUCUGGUCUGUAACUGACGCUGAGGCUCGAAAGUAUGGGUAGCAAACAGGAUUAGAUACCCUGGUAGUCCAUACCGUAAACGAUGAAUGCUAAGUGUUGGAGGGUUUCCGCCCUUCAGUGCUGCAGCUAACGCAUUAAGCAUUCCGCCUGGGGAGUACGGCCGCAAGGCUGAAACUCAAAGGAAUUGACGGGGGCCCGCACAAGCGGUGGAGCAUGUGGUUUAAUUCGAAGCUACGCGAAGAACCUUACCAGGUCUUGACAUACUAUGCAAAUCUAAGAGAUUAGACGUUCCCUUCGGGGACAUGGAUACAGGUGGUGCAUGGUUGUCGUCAGCUCGUGUCGUGAGAUGUUGGGUUAAGUCCCGCAACGAGCGCAACCCUUAUUAUCAGUUGCCAGCAUUAAGUUGGGCACUCUGGUGAGACUGCCGGUGACAAACCGGAGGAAGGUGGGGAUGACGUCAAAUCAUCAUGCCCCUUAUGACCUGGGCUACACACGUGCUACAAUGGAUGGUACAACGAGUUGCGAACUCGCGAGAGUAAGCUAAUCUCUUAAAGCCAUUCUCAGUUCGGAUUGUAGGCUGCAACUCGCCUACAUGAAGUCGGAAUCGCUAGUAAUCGCGGAUCAGCAUGCCGCGGUGAAUACGUUCCCGGGCCUUGUACACACCGCCCGUCACACCAUGAGAGUUUGUAACACCCAAAGUCGGUGGGGUA